UCGGAUCGCAGUCUGCAACUCGACUGCGUGAAGGUGGAGUCGCUAGUAAUCGCGGAUCAGCAACGCCGCGGUGAAUGCGUUCCCGGGCCUUGCACACACCGCCCGUCAAGUCAUGAAAGUGGGCAGCACCCGAAGACGGUGGCCUAACCCUUGUGGGGGGAGCCGUCUAAGGUGAGGCUCGUGAUUGGGACUAAGUCGUAACAAGGUAAC
rnacentral:rRNA from 1 species